rnacentral:rRNA from 1 species
UACGGAGGGUGCGCGCGUUGUUCGGAAUCACUGGGCGUAAAGCGCGUGUAGGCAGCCUCCUAAGUCUGGUGUGAAAGCCCGGGGCUUACCCCCGGAAGUGCAUUGGAUACUGGGAGGCUGGAGUACCGGAGAGGAGGGUGGAAUUCCUGGUGUAGCGGUGAAAUGCGUAGAGAUCAGGAGGAACACCGGUGGCGAAGGCGGCCCUCUGGACGGAUACUGACGCUGAGACGCGACAGAGUGGGGAGCAAACAGG